rnacentral:rRNA from 1 species
UACAGAGGGUGCAAGCGUUGUUCGGAAUUAUUGGGCGUAAAGCGCGUGUAGGCGGCUUGGCAAGUCGGGGGUGAAAUCCCUCAGCUUAACUGAGGAAGUGCGCCCGAAACUGCUAGGCUUGAGUGCCGGAGAGGGUAGCGGAAUUCCCCAAGUAGAGGUGAAAUUCGUAGAUAUGGGGAGGAACACCGGUGGCGAAGGCGGCUACCUGGACGGUAACUGACGCUGAGACGCGAAAGCGUGGGUAGCAAACAGG